GUCGACGAUUACUCCUACGGGAGGCAGCAGUGGGGAAUAUUGGACAAUGGGCGCAAGCCUGAUCCAGCCAUGCCGCGUGAGUGAAGAAGGCCUUCGGGUUGUAAAGCUCUUUUGUCCGGAAAGAAAAGCUUCCGAUUAAUACUCGGGAGUCAUGACGGUACCGGAAGAAUAAGCACCGGCUAACUUCGUGCCAGCAGCCGCGGUAAUAAUCUCUAGA
rnacentral:rRNA from 1 species